ensembl:ncRNA asRNA:CR42738 antisense RNA:CR42738
CAUUCCUACUCCCGUAUCUGGAUUCCAGAUUCUGGAACUUGUUUAUUAUUAUCUAAUAUUUAUUUGCUCUAAUAUAUUGUGACCAUAUCAACUUUUUCUAUGAACAAGUGUUUUUAAAUAUAUUUGUUGCUUAAGUUUAAGAUUCAUUCGGGUCUCUGUGAUAGAUUCCUUGAAGGCGCUGAAUGACUCGGCCACCUCACUGAGACAUUCCUCCUGGAUGUGUUUAAGGCAGAGGCAGAUGGAAAUGGGAUCAGCAUUGUUUAAUCGAUAAAAUAGACGCUGCUUCAGAUGGGAGGGCAAUCCGAGUCGGACCAGGACUUCAAAGUGGCAGGACUCGUACUUCGGGUGCUCCACAAGAAACUCUGCGCACUUCUCAUAGAUGUCCACGCACUGCAUGGACUUAUUUUCGCUCUUCAUGAAGUGCCUUAGGAUCUUUCGGGCCUCCGCGUCAUCCAGGAUUCUUCCGACACUGUUCGAGAGCGCGUAUAUCCUUUCCGCCUCGCAAAGUUUCAUGUUCUCCAUUAGUUCUUCAUAACUUUGCUGCAGUUUUGUAAAAGUUUUAUUUAUUUCAUUUUUAGUAAUUCAUUAGCGAACCUUUUCCGAACUGGGUGCCAUGCUUGAGUAAUAAUUUCAAAAUAAAAACAGUUGAAGUGU